rnacentral:lncRNA from 1 species
UGGGAGUCCCGGGGGCGGAGUCAACCUCGCCCUCCGCCUGGCCCCGCCAACAGGUGAUCCCGCCCUCGAGCCCUGCCCCUUCGGCCCCGGCGAAGCCCAGGUGUAAGCGGGCGAAUCAGGUUGUCCUCUACCUGGCCCAGCUCCUACGUUGGCAGUUCUAUGAGAUUGCAGGUCAAGAAGUUGGAAGUAUUUGUUUACAGGCUCAACUAUCUCCAUAUGCAGGCAUCUCUGCAAUUUUCCUGGCUUUUCCAUGGUAGCUGCAGAAUAGCUACUUCAGCUCCAGGCACUAGAAGAAAAGAAGGCAAGAAGAGGAGAAACCAGUGCCAGAAAUAUCUGUCCAUUUUUAUCAGGAAAGCAAAAGUUUCCCCAGAAUUGUCCAUCAUAAGGCCGCCUCUUACUGCAGGGUAGGCAAAGAUAGCAUUUAGGCUAACAAAAUAGAGGGAAUCCAAAACAGAUGUUAAGAUGCCCUGUCCACUGGACCACUUCUUUGCUUCUGGUCCCAUUUCACCACUUUAGAACUCUGUCCCGUUCCUAAGCUCCAUUCCCUCUUUCAGUGUACAACUAUGACUUCUCAUUCUCUCCAAAGCAAAAAAAGCCCAAAGCAGUAAGACUUGCUCUUUCUGGCCCCCAUUUCCAAAACCUGCCUUUAUAGAGUAUGAAGUCAGGGAGCAUGGGCUCCCUCCAGUUCACCCACCUGUGAUCUACGAAAGGACAUACCCUGGUUGGCAUUGCCCUAAGUUGUUCACUGGCUCCAGCAGCUCAAACCACAGUAGAAAACUCACCCAAACAUACCCAGGGCUCUCUGUCCCUCUGUCCCUCAAUUGCUUCCAUGUAUAAUGACCUUUUAUAGCUCAGUUCCAACACAGCUUUUCCCCUAAAAAUUUUGUGAGGUACCUCCAAGCAGGAGUAACAUCUCCCACCCAUCUAUCUUCAGACACUUGGGAUGAUACCCUUCUAGCACUGUGCACUAUAUUCCCUGUUAGUUGAACUGGCCUGUAAACUUUUUGAUAAGCUCUUAUAAGUCAUGUUAGUUUUUGUGCUCCCUAUUGACCUGGCACUGCCUUAUAAAGAAUCAGAAC